AACGAACGCUGGCGGCAUGCCUAACACAUGCAAGUCGAACGAGACCUUCGGGUCUAGUGGCGCACGGGUGCGUAACGCGUGGGAACCUGCCCUUAGGUUCGGAAUAACUCCCCGAAAGGGGUGCUAAUACCGGAUAAUGUCUUCGGACCAAAGAUUUAUCGCCUUUGGAUGGGCCCGCGUUGGAUUAGCUAGUUGGUAGGGUAAAAGCCUACCAAGGCGACGAUCCAUAGCUGGUCUGAGAGGAUGAUCAGCCACACUGGGACUGAGACACGGCCCAGACUCCUACGCGAGGCAGCAGUGGGGAAUAUUGGACAAGGGGCGAAAGCCUGAUCCAGCAAUGCCGGGUGAGUGAUGAAGGCCUUAGGGUUGUAAAGCUCUUUUACCCGGGAUGAUAAUGACAGUACCGGGAGAAUAAGCUCCGGCUAACUCCGUG
rnacentral:rRNA from 1 species